rnacentral:rRNA from 1 species
AGUAACGGCGAGUGAAGCGGCAAUAGCUCAGAUUUGAAAUCUGGCCCCUUCGGGGUCCGAGUUGUAAUCUGCAGAGAGUGCUUCGGGUGAGACCGCGGUCUAAGUCCCUUGGAACAUGGCCUCACAGAGGGUGAGAAUCCCGUAUGCGACCGUGGCUCGAGCCCGUGUGAAGCCUCUUCGAAGAGUCCAGUUGUUUGGGAAUGCAGCUCAUAGUGGGUGGUAAAUUUCAUCUAAAGCUAAAUACUGGCUGGAGACCGAUAGCGCACAAGUAGAGUGAUCGAAAGAUGAAAAGCACUUUGGAAAGAGAGUCAAAAAGUACGUGAAAUUGUUGAAAGGGAAGCGUUUGCAACCAGACCUGCCCGUAGGCGAUCAGCCGCUGUUCUCAGCGGUGCACUCGCUCUGCGAUCAGGCCAGCAUCGGUUUCGGCGGUUGGAUAAAGGCCUUGGGAAUGUAGCUCCCCUUCCGGGGAGUCUUAUAGCCCUCGGUGCAAUGCGGCCAGCCGAGACCGAGGACCGCGCUUCGGCUAGGAUGCUGGCGUAAUGGUUGUAAGCGACCCGUCUUGAAACACGGACCAAGGAGUCUAACAUCGAUGCGAGUGUUUGGGUGUAAAACCCAUGCGCGGAAUGAAAGUGAACGGAGGUGAGAACCCUGAAGGGCGCAUCAUCGACCGAUCCAGAUGUCUUCGGAUGGAUUUGAGUAUGAGCAUCGCUGUUNGGGACCCGAAAGGUAAAGCUGAACUUGCUCGAUAUCACAGAAUCUAUGCUAAUAUUUUGACCAGAUGGGUGAACUAUGCCUGAAUANGGGUGAAGNCCAGAGGNAAACUCUNGGUGGAGGCUCGCAGCGGUUCUGACGUGCAAAUCGAUCGUCAAAUUUGGGUAUAGGGGCGAAAGAGUAAUCGAACCAUGUUAUUUUGCGCUACAGGUGGUUAAUAAAAGCAUGUUGAGGUGCUUUCAGUCCUUCGGGGCGACAUCACUACUUGCAUGGACGAAUCUUCCAAGGUUGACAUGGUGCGGUUUUCCCCGGUAGGAGUUCCGUUCACAGACCAAAUAGUGAUGGCCGGGCUCCCUUUAUGGGGGGCAUAUCCGGUUUAGAUAUGGCCGAGUCCCACUUCUAAC